CUGGCUCAGGACGAACGCUGGCGGCGUGCCUAACACAUG
rnacentral:rRNA from 1 species